UAAGGAUAAAUAAUUAAAAGGUUCUAUAUUUAAGACCUCGUUAUUACGGGGUUUUUUGUUAUAUGGAGCUUAGUAACUCCGUGAUUUCACGGACUUUCUUGGGGCUAUUUGCCCUUUUUUU
rfam:Shewanella sp. P1-14-1 AN944_contig000006, whole genome shotgun sequence.